UGGGGAAUAUUGCACAAUGGGCGCAAGCCUGAUGCAGCCAUGCCGCGUGUAUGAAGAAGGCCUUCGGGUUGUAAAGCACUUUCAGCGGGGAGGAAGGCGGUGAGGUUAAUAACCUCAUCGAUUGACGUUACCCGCAGAAGAAGCACCGGCUAACUCCGUGCCAGCAGCCGCGGUAAUACGGAGGGUGCAAGCGUUAAUCGGAAUUACUGGGCGUAAAGCGCACGCAGGCGGUCUGUCAAGUCGGAUGUGAAAUCCCCGGGCUCAACCUGGGAACUGCAUCUGAUACUGGCAAGCUUGAGUCUCGUAGAGGGGGGUAGAAUUCCAGGUGUAGCGGUGAAAUGCGUAGAGAUCUGGAGGAAUACCGGUGGCGAAGGCGGCCCCCUGGACAAAGACUGACGCUCAGGUGCGAAAGCGUGGGGAGCAAACAGG
rnacentral:rRNA from 1 species